GGGGAAUAUUGCACAAUGGGCGAAAGCCUGAUGCAGCGACGCCGCGUGCGGGAUGAAGGCCUUCGGGUUGUAAACCGCUUUUAAUUGGGAGCAAGCGAGAGUGAGUGUACCUUUUGAAUAAGCACCGGCUAACUACGUGCCAGCAGCCGCGGUAAUACGUAGGGUGCAAGCGUUAUCCGGAAUUAUUGGGGCGUAAAGAGCUCGUAGGCGGUUUGUCACGCCUGGUGUGAAAGUCCAUCGCUUAACGGUGGAUCUGCGCCGGGUACGGGCAGGCUAGAGUGCAGUAGGGGAGAUUGGAAUUCCCGGUGUAACGGUGGAAUGUGUAGAUAUCGGGAAGAACACCAAUGGCGAAGGCAGAUCUCUGGGCUGUUACUGACGCUGAGGAGCGAAAGCAUGGGGAGCGAACAGGAUUAGAUACCCUGGUAGUCCAUGCCGUAAAACGGUGGAUGCUGGAUGUGGGACCCUUCCACGGGUUCCGUGUCGGAGCUAACGCGUUAAGGCAU
rnacentral:rRNA from 1 species